rnacentral:sRNA from 1 species
UUUUUGCGUUAGGGAUUGAAGUGAAAAUCCUUUUUGUGAGACACGAUCAAAAAGAUUGUAGCCUAAAGCCCGACCCUUG